UCUGAGCUUUUCUCCCUCAGGUGAUUGCCUGACCCACCACACCCUUCAACCGUGUUGCACAUCCCUAGGGAGCACCAUUUUCCCCUCUUUCUCUUCACUACUGUCCAUGUCUGUUCCUGACCAAGCUUUCCGCUAUACAGGUCUGAGCUUUUUUCUUUCUCCCUGAUAAGACAAGCAUCUUCCUUACAGCUUGAACAGGCUCAGGGUGCGAUUCAGAAGUCCUAGAACCAUGGAACCGUGAGAAGAGGGAAGGGAGCUGAAAAGGAGAAGUUCUUGCUCACCAGGUGGAAGGAAGCAGCUCUUGCCACAGUGUUGCAAGAUGGCUGUGCCAGGCCAGGCUGAGAAGGAGGUGGUCAUGGCACACUGGUGGCUGCAGAAGGAAAGGUGGCACUGGUUUUUAGUCCUUAGGAUGAGAUGACUGUCUCUGCCCCAGAGCUCCAGCACCUUGGCAUACCUGCUGUGCAUGGACUCCAUGUGGAUGAGUGCUCAGAGUCCUCUCAUGUUCCUUUUGAAGCCUUUCACACCAAGGACAAAUUCCAGCAAGUCUGACAAGGAAUGUGAAUGAAAGUCUUGAUUGUUAAAGGCUUUUUCCAUUUUAGCAAUUAAGCUGUAAGUUCUCAAAAAACUAAACUUUAUCCAUGCUUCCUUGUUUUGAAAGAGAUAGGAGAAAAUUGUAGUUUCAGCUGUCUCUGAAAAUCUGAAGAAAACUGUUUUCUGGGACCAAAUUGUUACCCAGCAGUGCAUGAAGUCCACAGACUAGACGAAAAACAGACUAAUGAAAAGAUAUGGAGUAACUGAGCAUUUUUUCGCUGGGCAACACUCAGUCCUUGGCUGAAAAGCUACCAAAUAAAAGGCAAGCACACCACUCCUGUCUUCUCUGUUUGAAUUUCUAGCUGUGAUAGAAUUCUACCACUGUGGACAGGUGCCUUGAGCUGCAAAAAGGGAGGCCUUGAGAGACAGCAGAAAUAUUAAUGGUACAGGCAGAAUUUAGACCCAGUGGUUUCUGCAGUACAUGGCACUGUGGUCCAACAUGGGUUGCUGUAGGCUUGAGAUCCUCUGUUAAAGAGGUAGCUGGCGGUGUCCUGCAGGGCCUUGUUUUCUUCUGUUUUUCAAGUCUUACUUCUUUUAGCUAGUGAAAAACUGCAUGUUAACUGAUAACAAGUAUUGGUAGAUUUGUAUACAGAGCUGGUUUGUUG